AAUCUUCCGCAAUGGACGAAAGUCUGACGGAGCGACGCCGCGUGAGUGAUGAAGGUCUUCGGAGCGUAAAACUCUGUUGUUAGGGUAGAAUAAGUACGGACCGAAAAGGUCAUUACCUUGACGGUACCUAACCAGAAAGCCCCGGCUAACUACGUUCCAGCAGCCGCGGUAAUACGUAGGGUGCAAGCGUUGGCCGGAAUUAUUGGGCGUAAAGGGCGCGGAGGCGGUCUUUUAAGUCUGAUGUGAAAUCUCGUAGCUUAACUACGAGCGGUCAUUGGAAACUGGAAGACUUGAGGACAGAAGAGGAGAGUGGAAUUCCACGUGUAGCGGUGAAAUGCGUAGAGAUGUGGAGGAACACCAGUGGCGAAGGCGACUCUCUGGUCUGUAACUGACGCUGAGGCGCGAAAGCGUGGGGAGCGAACA
rnacentral:rRNA from 1 species